UACAGGGGGUGCAAGCGUUGUUCGGAAUUACUGGGCGUAAAGGGCGCGUAGGCGGCCUGGCAAGUCAGAUGUGAAAUCCCGGGGCUUAACCCCGGACGUGCAUUUGAAACUGCUAGGCUCGAGUGUAGUAGAGGUUGGUGGAAUUCCUAGUGUAGAGGUGAAAUUCGUAGAUAUUAGGAGGAACACCGGUGGCGAAGGCGGCCAACUGGGCUACAACUGACGCUGAGGCGCGAAAGCGUGGGGAGCAAACAGG
rnacentral:rRNA from 1 species